UACGUAGGUGGCAAGCGUUGUCCGGAAUUAUUGGGCGUAAAGCGCGCGCAGGUGGUUUCUUAAGUCUGAUGUGAAAGCCCACGGCUCAACCGUGGAGGGUCAUUGGAAACUGGGGGAACUUAGUGCAGGAGAGAAGAGUGGAAUUCCACGUGUAGCGGUGAAAUGCGUAGAGAUGUGGAGGAACACCAGUGGCGAAGGCGACUACCUGGCCUGUUCUUGACGCUGAGGCGCGAAAGCUAGGGGAGCAAACGGG
rnacentral:rRNA from 1 species